rnacentral:tRNA from 1 species
GCGGGUGUAGCUCAAUGGUAGAGCAGAAGCUUCCCAAGCUUAUCGCAUCCGCG